UCGUCCCUGGUUCCUCCCUCCUGCAAAUGACUUUCAGAUUUGUCGCAGCUGCCUGUGUUCUCAGCGCUCUCCUGGCUCCGUGCGGUCCCUGAAGAGGCCAUUGCACAUCUUGCCGCACACGUCCUGUAGCCCUACCUUUGUGCAGUCUUCCCUCCUCAGUAAAAUGUUCUCAGCGCACAAAAGCAGCCGCUGAAGGGAACAGCUCCGGGCAGAGUGGGAGGGAGCUUGCCGGCUGCAGCGCGGCUGCACCAUCUCCAGUGGAAACGGACGCUGCUCACCCUGCGUAGGAAACUAAUGGAGCGUCCCUAAGAAACCCAAACUCCAGCCUGGCUCACCCCAGCUUUCUCCCCCACCUCCAGACCCCCAGGGGGAGAUACUUCCUCUUCAUCUCAGGUCCAGUGCGGAGGACUUCCAGGGCACCAUCUGGAGAGCUUUGAUGUGUGUGGCCUGGAAUCUGAUUCUGAUAUCGGAAAUCUAGAGGGACAUCAAAACUUCAGCUCAGCAGAGGGAAGAGGAAGGAGGAAAAAAGAAGCCCAAGGCAGUGAAUUGGAGAAGCCAAUCAGCCCCUUUCUCAUUGUAGGCUUUCAGCCUGAAGCAGAAGCAAGCUGAGAGGGGAGGAGAUUUACUGCUAAGUCAAGCCCAGAGUUAUAAUUAUUAUACUGAAUUGAACAUUUUAGUUUCUGAAUCAGUCUGUUUUUCAUCCAGGCACAGGGAAACAUUACUACUGCUAAAUAAAGCCUAAUG
rnacentral:lncRNA from 1 species